UGUGUGUGUGUGUCCGUGUCUGCCUUGGUAAGGAGUAGACACAGGAUGGGAACAGGAAAUACCUCUGAAUGAAGCCCAUUUUAAAACUGAAGAGGCAGCAAUCAACAAAGGUAACGUGGGAAAUUCACCAUAGAGAAACAAACUGAGAGGAGCCCUCUACCACC